UCCCACUAAAAUCAUGUCU
rnacentral:misc_RNA from 1 species